CACGCUGUAAACGAUGAAUGCUAGGUGUGGGAGGUAUCGACCCCUUCCGUGCCGCAGUUAACACAAUAAGCAUUCCGCCUGGGGAGUACGGCCGCAAGGUUGAAACUCAAAGGAAUUGACGGGGGCCCGCACAAGCAGCGGAGCAUGUUGUUUAAUUCGACGCAACGCGAAGAACCUUACCAGGUCUUGACAUCCAUGGAAUCCGGCGGAAAUGCCGGAGUGCCUUUCGGGGAGCCAUGAGACAGGUGG
rnacentral:rRNA from 1 species